ACGGUGCCAACGGUGCCAAUGUACUUUCUGGAAGGGUGUCAUUAUCAUAGCAUAAUGAAAAAAGUAAAAAGAUGCAACAAUUUCGUGCACUUUCUGGCAUCAACAAUUUGGUGUAAACAAAUAAUUGUUUUGAUGGCGAAAUAAUUCCGAUGGACACGUGCAGCAGCCUCUGAAGGUGAAUGGGAAGGGGGGAAAGUGGGUGAGUUGUAGUUGUUGGUCAAACGUCAUCUCGCUCUCACGAGCUUAGUCAGAGGCAUGAAGAAACUAUAAGGAGGGCCCGCCGGCUCUCGAAUGGGAAACGCAACAAUGCUGUCAAUAGGUGCUAGUGAAAGGGCGUGCAGAGAGAGAGAGAGAGAGCAACUGUACAAGAAUAAGAGUACAAGCUGCUCAUAAUUGCGGCCCACCACAGUCGUGGCACUGAGCUGUAAGUGUGACUGAAACGACAAUGGAGUAUGCCGAUUAACCUUUUGAAUGCAAUGUGAAAAAGCC
rnacentral:lncRNA from 1 species